rnacentral:rRNA from 1 species
AGUGAACGCUGGCGGUAGGCCUAACACAUGCAAGUCGAACGGCAGCACAGUAAGAGCUUGCUCUUACGGGUGGCGAGUGGCGGACGGGUGAGGAAUACAUCGGAAUCUACUUUUUCGUGGGGGAUAACGUAGGGAAACUUACGCUAAUACCGCAUACGACCUACGGGUGAAAGCAGGGGAUCUUCGGACCUUGCGCGAUUGAAUGAGCCGAUGUCGGAUUAGCUAGUUGGCGGGGUAAAGGCCCACCAAGGCGACGAUCCGUAGCUGGUCUGAGAGGAUGAUCAGCCACACUGGAACUGAGACACGGUCCAGACUCCUACGGGAGGCAGCAGUGGGGAAUAUUGGACAAUGUGCGCAAGCCUGAUCCAGCCAUACCGCGUGGGUGAAGAAGGCCUUCGGGUUGUAAAGCCCUUUUGUUGGGAAAGAAAAGCGGCAGGUUAAUACCCCGCUGUUCUGACGGUACCCAAAGAAUAAGCACCGGCUAACUUCGUG